rnacentral:tRNA from 1 species
GCCCGGGUGGCUCAAUCAGUUGGGUGUCCGACUUCGGCUCAGGUCACGAUCUGGCGGUUCGUGGGUUCGACACCCACCUCGGGCU